rnacentral:tRNA from 1 species
CGGGGCGUAGCGCAGCCUGGUAGCGUGACUGCUUCGGGAGCAGUAGGUCGCUGGUUCAAAUCCAGUCGCCCCGA